GGAAAACCACAACUUUUUUCAUUUGAGGGGUCUCUACUUGAGAUUUUCUGUAAGUGAACCGUGUUAUCUAAAGUUUGCUUCAAAGUGUCUAAUUGCUGUAAACUCACAUGUAAGGUCACUUUGAGUGGGUGCACUUAGGAAAACAACCACCAUCAGUGUCUCCAUUCAAAGUGAUCUUGAUAUGAAACAUAGAACUCAAUUUGAUAGACAUAACAUGGAGGGUCAGGUAGAAUUUGUAGCAGUCGAUGAGUGUGUCUAUUUGAGAUCUUUAAGUGAAACAUUUAAUCUAAAGUGUCCUUCAACGUGUCUAAUUGUUGUAAACUCGUAUGCAAGGUCACUUUGAGUGGGUGCACUUAGGAAAACAACCACCAUCAGUGUCUCCAUUCAAAGUGAUCUUGAUAUGAAACAUAGAACUCAAUUUGAUAGACGUAACAUGCAGGCUCAGGUAGAAUUUGUAACAGUCGAUGAGUGUGUCUAUUUGAGAUCUUCUUUAAGUGAAAUAUAUAAUCUAAAGUUUGCUUCAAAGUGUCUAAUUGCUGUAAACUCAUAUGCAAGGUCACUUUGAGUGGGUGCACUUAGGAAUACAACCACCAUCAGUGUCUCCAUUCAAAGUGAUCUUGAUAUGAAACAUAGAACUCAAUUUGAUAGACCUAACAUGGAG
ensembl:lncRNA